rnacentral:rRNA from 1 species
GAUCCUGGCUCAGGAUGAACGCUAGCUACAGGCUUAACACAUGCAAGUCGAGGGGCAGCAUUUUUCUAGCAAUAGAAGAGAUGGCGACCGGCGCACGGGUGAGUAACACGUAUCCAACCUACCGAUAACUCCGGAAUAGCCUUUCGAAAGAAAGAUUAAUACCGGAUAGUAUACGAAUAUCGCAUGAUAUUUUUAUUAAAGAAUUUCGGUUAUCGAUGGGGAUGCGUUCCAUUAGUUUGUUGGCGGGUAACGG